UGUUCAGAAAAAUUCUCAGUUUGUUUUGCUCUAUUUUUAGGGUGAUAGGAUACAAGGUUCUAUUUGCAGUUCAGUACUUAAACAAUUCAAAUCAGAAAUCAAAGAGCGUGGAUUAUAUUUUAUACAGACUUUAUUGUCUGGAAAAAUACUUUCAAAUUUCGGCUCACAACUCAUAAGUUGAAGCUUAGUUUUACUCUUCGCACAAAUGUCACUGAACUUUUUGAUCCAUCUUUUUCAUUGAACUUCUUCCACUUUUGAUCUUUUGCACAUUUGAUAAAUAAGAUAUCUGUGGACGAAACAAAAUUAUUUGAUAAGAAAUAAUUGCCUUAACUUUUAAUAUAUUAUGUUUUAUAGUAAUAGUAAUAUUAACAUAUUUUAAUAUUAUAAAUAUUAUCGAAGAAAUUGUCAAUUUCGGAUAGAUACAAACUCACUAUAUGGGAGGUAAUUCUAGAAAGUUCAUUAAUAUUGAUUUAAAAGAUGACGAGUAAGAAAAAAUAUUUACUCUAUAAUAAUUUAUGUAAUGUCUAUAUAGUCAUUUUCAUACAAGUUUCUUUUUAAAAUUAUAUCUGCCGAUAACAACAUUAAUCAGCAACAUUUUUUAUUUUAUUUUCAGAAACAACAUGAUAUCUGCAACGUUUUAGGGUGAAUUUGUUGGUCAAAUUGUGCCACAACUUUCAGAUUCUGACAACAAAACUAUUGUUGUUGCUAUUCAACUUAUGCAGUCGCACAAAUUUCAAGGUGAUAAUAAGUAUUUACAUUUAUUUACUUAUUAUAAAAUAAGUAUAUCUUACUGAAAUUUUUUGAUAGAUUCCAUGCUGUGUACAAUACGUGAAAUGCCUCGAAGCUUUGGAUCAACCCGACUGAUGCUCAAUCUGAAGAGUUUAAAAAAUGAUAUAUUAUACAUUUCACUAUCAUAUGUGUGUGUGUAUGUGUUUCCCCAAACAACAAAGUAAUUUUAUGAGUUACAUAUGUAGAUUGCUAUCUAUUCAAGACAGAAACUCAGACAGAUUAACAAGUAUCAUUAGUACCAUCUCUCAUAAAAGUUUCUCUGUCUCAGAUGAAUUAUCUAAAAACACUAUUGAAGUCAAAACACUAUCUAAAUUCUUGGAGAUUGUUGAAGUUAGUAUACCUUUUCUAAAAUUAUGUAUUGACAUGUUUCCAUGUAUCAUACAUAGAUGCUAACCAAGUUAUAAUUUUAUUCAUCUAAUUAAUAGGAAGGUUCUCAAUGUUGUAUAGUUGCCACUAUUGAAUUGUUAAAUCUAGACAAUGGAUAGUCAAAUACUGGAUGCACUAAGUGUCGUAAGAAGACGAAAUAAGUGAAACACUUAUUUUUGCACAAACACAAAAUGUAACUAUGAAGAUUCCCUUGUUGUUUUAAGGUAAACAUAUAUUUUUUUAUUUCAUAAUUAAUAUACAAAACUUUAUAUAAAAAAAUAUUUUACUAUUUUGGUACAGGAUUCAAGUUAUGGUUAUGGGCUGUACUGGACCUAUUUUAUUGAUUAUAUGGGAUACUGAUGUCACAUCUCUAAUUGGCAAGUCUUCAACUGAAUUGAAGAAUGAAUUAAAUAAGGUAUAUAUAUUUAUACUAUAUAUUACAACACAUAUUUGUUAUUUAAAUAAUGACUAACAAAUAUUUCUACUUUCUAGAAUACUGACAAUGAUGAUGCACCUUCUUAUCCAACGGAAUUGAAUAAUAUUCUACAAUAAAAAUUCAAUUUUAAGGUGAUUGUCAAGAGCGAAAAUAUUCAUAACCAUGAUAAAAUUUACAGUGUUGUUUAGAUUUUAGGUGAUGAAGAACUGAUCAAGAAAUAUUCUCCUAAAGAAUCAGAUACAUCCUAAAAAACUUAUUCCCACUUACAAUUAUUUUUCAUACUUAUAUUUUAUUUAAAAAAAAUAAUGUGUUAUAGGAUCAUAAAUUCAACAGUCAAGGUUCAGCUGAAGAGAAAGAAUUCAAAGUAAUUACACAUACAAUUUAAUAUUACAUGUUGAUAAAUAUAUGUUCGCUAAAUACCUAUUAAGUUAUAUGAUUAUAUUUUCUUAUAUCUAACUUUUAAAUUCAUAUUUUACAAUAGAAAGCGGCACACGACACUGACAUGUUAACUCCCCUAAAGACAUAUUCAAAGAGGACUAGAUCAUAAAAAAGGGUAAAUCAGUUAUCGUUGAUGAAGAUGUCAAUUUUGAACACUCAAGUAACAAGGUUCACAAAAGUUUUAGAAAGGAAAAGAAGCCAUCAUCUGCUGGAUAUUUAUGAAUUUUGUCAUAUUAUUUCUGUAAUUUAGUAUCCAAAUAGUAAUCUAGCAAAUUAUUACAUAUUGUGGAUUUUAUCAUUAGGUAUUUGUAUCCUAUUACGUUUUAAAAUUUUAUCAUGUUUAUUAAUUAAAUGACAUUUGACAACAAACACGAGAUAUUAGACUAUCUAUCUAUAUAUAAAAGCAAAACAUAAGUAAGACAAGAUGCCACGUGUCAAGCUAUUAAAUUAGCUAUGUGGCAAUUUUUAAGACAUUAAUAAAAAAUAUUUUAAGAUAAAGUUACAAAUAUUGUAAUAAAAUUUUUGAAUUGAAAAAUUAAGUAUUUGAAUUUGAAUAAAUUAUCCUUUUACAAAAAAGUUUUUCAUUAUCUUAAAAAUAGAAACUAAUAAUUAAAGAGUUCUAAUAGAUAUAUACUAUUUCAUAUUUAUCUCUUAUAAAAUUUAAAUGUUAUAAAAUAUAUUUAAUUAUAAUUUAUUUACACACUAGGAAAGAUAAAAAACUAUAAUAACAAUAAUAAUAAUAAUAAUAAUAAUAAUAAUAAUAAUCUAUAUAAUAAUAAUAAUAAUAAUAAUCUAUAUAAUAAUAAUAAUAAUAAUAAUCUAUAUAAUAAUAAUAAUAAUAAUAAUCUAUAUAAUAAUAAUAAUAAUAAUAAUCUAUAUAAUAAUAAUAAUAAUAAUAAUCUAUAUAAUAAUAAUAAUAAUAAUAAUCUAUAUAAUAAUAAUAAUAAUAAUAAUCUAUAUAAUAAUAAUAAUAAUAAUAAUCUAUAUAAUAAUAAUAAUAAUAAUAAUCUAUAUAAUAAUAAUAAUAAUAAUAAUCUAUAUAAUAAUAAUAAUAAUAAUAAUCUAUAUAAUAAUAAUAAUAAUAAUAAUCUAUAUAAUAAUAAUAAUAAUAAUAAAUAGUAGUCCGUAGUGAUAAUGCUUACCAGAAAAUGUGUAUAGCAAUAAUAAUGUUGUGGUGAUAUUAUAAUAAUAAUAAUAAUAAUAAUAAUAAUAAUAAUAAAGGAAUUAAUAAUGAAGUGAUGCUGUAACACCUGUAGUAGUAGUAGUAAUAAUACUUCAUCUAAAUAAAUAAUUUUAGCCUUUUCAUUUUGUCUCUCUCUAUAUAUGGUGUUUUAAAUUUAUAUGAAGAUAAAUGAUAGAGACUAUGUUGGAGAUACUAUUUUAAAUUAUAACUCAAAAUAAUGAAUUGAUAAAUAAAUGUUUGAAUUUAGAAUGAAAUAUUUAAAUUUUUUAAUUGAAGAUAUGAUAAAAGAUCAUAUUCAAAAUUGAAUAUGAAAAUACCUUUUCAAUAUGCAAAUUUUAUUUAGUUAUUUAGUAACUUUUUGAACUUUUCAAUUUAAAUUAAAAAGACAUUAAAGAUUCUAUUGAAAAAAAUAAGCUUUGAAAUAUAAAGAGAUAACUUUAUUAAUUUAUUAGAACUAGAUAAUAAUUCUGUAACAAAAAAAUAGAAAUAUAUAGUAUAGUUUAUUUAGAACUCUUUUACAGUUUCCUUAAGCCUAUCCUAUCAGAUAUUGUAACCUCAUACAAUCUCUUAUUUAAAAAUUUAAAAUUACAACCAUUUUUUUAUUCAAAUGAAUAUGUCAACUAGCUAUAUAAAUAAGAAUAUAUUUCAUUCUGUCUCCCUCUCUACUAUUAAUAAUAGCUUCUUCUCCUCUUUUUUCUUUUAUUUUUAUUGUAAACACGUGAUUUUUUAUCCUCCCUAAAUUUUAACUUAUUUAUCAAUAUUAGAUAUUUAUAUUUGGUAUAAUAUUAUGCAAUUACUUAUUUUUAUUUUAAUUGAGUUUUAGUUAAAUAUAUAUAUAUAUAUAUAUAUAUAUAUAAUGAUAAAUAAAGUUAAUUUUGAGAUAUUUUUUAUUUUUAUCCUAAUAAUACAAAAAUCCAAAAAUAUAUGUAUAUUAUUUAUUCUAAAAUUUUAAUAAAUAAAUUAGUAAUUGUAAUACUAUUUUAUUAUAUUUUUGUCUAUUUAUAAAUUAUUAUUAUGUUUUAUUAAAUAUAAAAUUAAUUGAUUAUUAUUAUUUUUUUUAUUUAUUUACUUUUAUUUAUUUAUUAUUAUUAUUAUCUUUAUUAUUACUAUUAUUUUCUAUUUAAUAUAUAUAUAUAUAUAAAAUUAAUUGGAAUUUCAAAUGAUCCCUCUUUAUUUUUUAAAAAACCUCCCCUCAGUAAAAAAAAAUUGUUCCCCCAAAAAGUCCAUCUUUCUAAGAAUUUUCACCUAUCAAAAACAACGUACAUUCAUCUGGAGACAAAAAAAAAAACGAAGUAUAUAAAGCAGAGAGAAAAAUACAUAAAGAAAACUUAGAAGAAGAAAGAAGGAAAAAAAGAGUUGUGAAAGAGUUUUGUAAUUUCGUUCAAAAGUUUUCCGUGACAACAUUUCUUGCUGUAGUAUUUAUUUAAGUCAUCAACAGUUUCUUCUAUAAUUCUAUAUUCCUUACUGUAUUAAAUUUUAUUAGGAAUUAGAGUAUGAAUUUAUUUGUUAUUAUAUAUUGUAUAUUAAAUUAUAGAAUAUUUAUAUAAAUGUCAAAUUUGAUAUGCCGAGAAAAACAGUAAAAAUGAACAUUAUUAUUACUCCAUGUACCACAGUAUGCAUAUAUGUUCAUCUGUUAUAUGUACAUAGAAACGACGUGUUCUUCAAUUCUUUUUCACUGUAUAACAGAUCAAAUAUGGAUAUACAGAGAUAAAUAUAUAUAUAUAAAAAUAACAAUAAAAUUUAUUUACGAAGCCAUCCUUUUCAGAAUCGUUCCCUCACGGGAAUGUAAUGUCUGCUUUCAAAAAAUCAGAUCAAGAAAAAAAAAAUACCAAAAUUGAUUAUUUUCGAGUUGACUCCGGUUGGUUCUUACAGGAGUGUUACGAUCACUCCGUUACGCCUCCCAUCGGUGAGACAGCAAUGUCGUCACUUUCUCCUCCUUCACCAACCGCCGCUGCCACAGUCUUCCCUUCCCUCUUUCCCGCGUCGCCGAAAAAUCCAUUAAAACCGGCGACCUUCCGCCGAUAACCACCUCUUCCCCUUCCCCAACACCGGCGAAGCCACCUGCGCUGCCAUCAACCUCUUCCUUUCUCUCCCCACGUUGGAUCUGGUCGGAGCCGCCGUUACAGGCGCGCCUCCACCGGCCAUCAACACCGGCCAGCCCCUCUCUUUUUCCCUUUUCCCGUUAUUCCCCUAUUCUCGUCGGAGCCAGAUCUGGCCGGAAUUGUCACAAAAGCGAACCAACCUUCCCCCUCGCUGCCCGCCGAAAAACCAUUAUCAUCCUUUCCCUUCAUCUCCUCCAAACCGCUGGUUAACUAAAAUCGGCACCACUAAUCCACCAUCGUCGUUGCCUUGUCUGAAUAGAACAAGGUUAAUGUCUCUGUAGUUAACAGUAGUUAUGUAAAUAGCAAUAAGUCUAAGAAAGAAAAAUAAAGAAGAAAAAAUGAGAUUUGUUAGUUGUAUUAUACGUAUGUUUUGAUAGAUAUGUGUAGUUAUAGUUAUUUUAUAAAUUAGUGGAUAAAAACUAGUAGUAUGAAUCAUUUUUUUUAUAUAUUAUUUUAUUAGUUAUAAGGAUGAGGUUUUAUUAUUUUAAAAUUAAUUCAUUAUUUUAAUAAAUAAAAAUAAAAUUGCUUCAGAUUACUAUUAGUGUUAAGUAGAAUUUUG
rnacentral:lncRNA from 1 species